CAGAGGGGGCAAGCGUUAUUCGGAAUUAUUGGGCGUAAAGGGCGCGUAGGCGGCUUUGCAAGUGACGGGUGAAAUCCCUCGGCUUAACCGAGGAACUGCCUGUCAGACUGUGAGGCUUGAGACCGGGAGAGGUGAGUGGAAUUCCCAGUGUAGCGGUGAAAUGCGUAGAUAUUGGGAGGAACACCAGUGGCGAAGGCGGCUCACUGGACCGGAACUGACGCUGAGGCGCGAAAGCGUGGGGAGCAAACAGGAUUAGAUACCCUGGUAGUCCACGCCGUAAACGAUGAGUGCUUGGUGUAGCGGGUAUCGACCCCUGCUGUGCCGAAGUCAACACAUUAAGCACUCCGCCUGGGGAGUACGGUCGCAAGACUG
rnacentral:rRNA from 1 species